rnacentral:rRNA from 1 species
GACGAACGCUGGCGGCGUGCUUAACACAUGCAAGUCGAACGGAAAGGCCCCGCUUUUGUGGGGUGCUCGAGUGGCGAACGGGUGAGUAACACGUGAGUAACCUGCCCUUGACUUUGGGAUAACUUCAGGAAACUGGGGCUAAUACCGGAUAGGAGCUCCUGCUGCAUGGUGGGGGUUGGAAAGUUUCGGCGGUUGGGGAUGGACUCGCGGCUUAUCAGCUUGUUGGUGGGGUAGUGGCUUACCAAGGCUUUGACGGGUAGCCGGCCUGAGAGGGUGACCGGCCACAUUGGGACUGAGAUACGGCCCAGACUCCUACGGGAGGCAGCAGUGGGGAAUAUUGCACAAUGGGCGGAAGCCUGACGCAGCAACGCCGCGUGCGGGAUGACGGCCUUCGGGUUGUAAACCGCUUUCGCCUGUGACGAAGCGUGAGUGACGGUAAUGGGUAAAGAAGCACCGGCUAACUACGUG